CGCUGCGGGCCGAGCUGGCCGCCGCGCGCGACCGCGCCGACUGCGCGCGCCACCGGAGAGAAUUUCAAAUGACGGAGGAGAUCUUCCCUAAAGGAGUUGACCAGUCGAUACAGGACCAACCGAGUAAUGGGGGUUGAUCUCCCGGCCGGCUGUGGACCCGAGCCGCCCUGCGACGCCUGCGCCGGCGCGACCCAACUAUGACGCUUAACGAAACUUGACGAAAAAACGAGAUUUUUUCCC